rnacentral:rRNA from 1 species
GACGAACGCUGGCGGCGUGCUUAACACAUGCAAGUCGAACGGAAAGGCCCUGCUUUUGUGGGGUGCUCGAGUGGCGAACGGGUGAGUAACACGUGAGUAACCUGCCCUUGACUUUGGGAUAACUUCAGGAAACUGGGGCUAAUACCGGAUAGGAGCUCCUGCUGCAUGGUGGGGGUUGGAAAGUUUCGGCAGUUGGGGAUGGACUCGCGGCUUAUCAGCUUGUUGGUGGGGUAGUGGCUUACCAAGGCUUUGACGGGUAGCCGGCCUGAGAGGGUGACCGGUCACAUUGGGACUGAGAUACGGCCCAGACUCCUACGGGAGGCAGCAGUGGGGAAUAUUGCACAAUGGGCGGAAGCCUGAUGCAGCAACGCCGCGUGCGGGAUGACGGCCUUCGGGUUGUAAACCGCUUUCGCCUGUGACGAAGCGUGAGUGACGGUAAUGGGUAAAGAAGCACCGGCUAACUACGUG